UAAGCCAUGCUGGAGAAGCAGGGCACAUGCUAAAGCUAUCAAAGAAAAAAAAAUCUGAUAAUUUUUGCAUGUGCCCUGCUUCUCCAGUUUGGACAC
rnacentral:pre_miRNA from 1 species